AGUGAACGCUGGCGGCGUGCUUAACACAUGCAAGUCGAACGAGAACGGAAUAUAGCUUGCUAUAUUUGUCAGCUAAGUGGCGCACGGGUGAGUAAUGUAUAGAUAACCUGCCCUUAAGAAAGGAAUAACAGUUGGAAACGACUGCUAAUGCCCUAUAUGCCUUUAAUACAUAAGUAUGCAAGGGAAACGCUUUAGUGCUUAAGGAUGGGUCUGUAUGGUAUCAGCUUGUUGGUGAGGUAGUGGCUCACCAAGGCUAUGACGCCUAACUGGUUUGAGAGGAUGGUCAGUCACACUGGAACUGAGACACGGUCCAGGCUCCUACGGGAGGCAGCAGUGGGGAAUAUUGCACAAUGGACGAAAGUCUGAUGCAGCAACGCCGCGUGGAGGAUGACACAUUUCGGUGCGUAAACUCCUUUUAUAUAGGAAGAUAAUGACGGUACUAUAUGAAUAAGCACCGGCUAACUCCGUGCCAGCCGCCGCCGUAA
rnacentral:rRNA from 1 species